ensembl:lncRNA
CCCGAACCGAGGAAGACUCGAACUCUCAGUCGCUCCAGGUUUCAUCAGUUCAGAAGGGAACAUUAGUUUAAUCAGAUGUGAUAAGCUUUUGACAAAGUCAUAGUGGUUGUUCCGAGUUUUGAACCAACAAUUAUGUGAGGCAAUUUCCUGUAUUUUUGUCAGGAGUCCAGGCUUUCUGGGCUUCCCUGGUGGUUCAAAUGAUAAAGAAUCUGCCUGAAAUAUAGGAAGACCAGGCUUCAAUCUCUGGGUCAGGAAGUUCCCAUGGAGAAGAGAACAGCUACCCACUCCAGUAUUCUUGCCUGGAGAAUCCCAUGGACAGAGGAGGCUGGCAGGCUACAGUUCAUGGGGUCGCAAAGAGUCAGACAUGACUGAGUGACUAACACUUGCCUUGCCAGUCUUCCUGUUUACUUCUAUAACAGUUUCAUUGCUUUAUUAAGAAAUGAUGUCAACAUUGUACGAUUUAAUUUCCUUAAGAAGAGGUGGCAAGAAUACACUGAAGAACUAUACAAAAAAGAUCUUCAUGACCCAGGUAACCACAAUGGUGUGAUCACUCACCUAGAGCCAGACAUCCUGGAAUGUGAAGUCAAGUGAGCCUUAGGAAGCAUCACUAUGCACAAAGCUAGAGGAGGUGAUGGAAUUCCAGUUCAGCUAUUUCAACCUAAAAGAUGAUGCUGUGAAAGUGCUGCACUCAAUAUGCCAGCAAAUUUGGAAAACUCAGCAGUCGCCAAAGCAGUAGAAAAGGUCAGUUUUCAUUCCAAUCCCAAAGAAAGGCAAUGCCCAAGAAUGUUCAAACUACUGCACAAUUGCACUCAUCUCACACACUAGCAAAGUGAUGCUCAAAAUUCUCCAAGCCAGGCUUCAACAGUAUGUGAACCGUGAACUUCCAGAUGUUCAAGCUGGAUUUAGAAAAGGCAGAGGAAACAGAGAUCAAAUUGCCAACAUCCGUUGGAUCGUUGAAAAAGCAAGAAAAUUCUAGAAAAACAUGUACUUCUGCUUUAUUGACGAUGCCAAAGCUUUUGACUGUGUGGAUCACAGCAAACUGUGGAAAACUCUUCAAGAGAUGAGAAUACCAGACCACCUGACCUGCCUCCUGAGAAAUCUGUAUGCAGGUCAAGAAACAACAGUUAGAACUGGACAUGGAACAACAGACUGGUUCCAAAUCGGGAAAGGAGUACAUCAAGGAUGUAUAUUGUCACCCUGCUUAUUUAACUUAUAUCCAGAGUACAUUAUGGAGAAGGCAAUGGCACCCCACUCCAGUACUCUUGUCUGGAAAAUCCCAUGGAUGGAGGAGCCUGGUAGGCUGCAGUCCAUGGGGUUGCCAAGAGUCGGACACGACUGAGUGACUUCACUUUCCCUUUUCCCUUUCAUACACUGGAGAAGAAAAUG